UACGGAGGGUGCAAGCGUUAUCCGGAUUCACUGGGUUUAAAGGGUGCGUAGGCGGGCAGGUAAGUCCGUGGUGAAAUCUCCAAGCUUAACUUGGAAACUGCCGUGGAUACUAUUUGUCUUGAAUAUAGUGGAGGUGAGCGGAAUAUGUCAUGUAGCGGUGAAAUGCUUAGAUAUGACAUAGAACACCCAUUGCGAAGGCAGGUCGCUACACUAUUAUUGACGCUGAGGCACGAAAGCGUGGGGAGCAAACAGG
rnacentral:rRNA from 1 species